rnacentral:sRNA from 1 species
UCACAUCUCGCGUAGCAGCCUGAGCCCUGAGCCUUGAGCCUUGAGCCUCAUCUCUCUCUCGGUCUUCAAUCACUCUCUCAAACUCUCUGUCUCUCAUUCCCAACACCAUCUCUCGAUUUCUCUCUAUUUCUGCCUUCAUCCAAAAAAAAAAUUCACACGCCUCCACCUCGGCCAAGCUCGCGCCGCCGUCAAUUUCGAUGUCCUCUUCAGGGUACACGGUGGACUGGCAAGUGCUGGUACGUCUACAACCUCCUCAAGUACAAGUUCGAUCUCCAGUUCAAUAUCCCCAUCACCUACCCCGCCACCGCACCGGAACUCGAGCUCCCUCAGCUAGACAGCAAGACCCAAAAGAUGUAUAGAGGGGGGAUCUGCUUGACAGUGCAUUUCAAGCCGUUUUGACCCAAGAACUGGUGAUUUUUCUAUCUUGCUGUCUUUAAUUUGUUGUAUGUAUUUUAAGGACAAAGUAGGCAAGAAGAUGCAUUUUGGAGCAUUUUGGAGCAAAAUGGAGCUUGGAAUGCAUGUCACAUAUUUGGAACCAAGGUUUGGACGAAAUUGA